GUGGCUGUAGAGAGGAGGCAAGUGGACGGUCGGAGCUGGUUAGAUUUGCUGAAGGACCUGGUAUGGGGGGGCGGAUGCCGGGGUGAGAAUCAGAUGUUCUGAAAACGUACAACAGACCCCGUUUUCCCACCUGCAUGAGGUGGGUGUUCCCAGAGAUGCCUCCUCCUUUGCCCUGACUGCCUGGUGGUCUUCUCUUUGUUCUGCGUCACCUGCCGCACUGGUUUCUCUGUGCUCAGAUACUCUGAGCUCGUUUCAGCCUCCAGACCUUUGCACUGCCUGGGACGCUAGUCCCUGAUCUCCUCGUGGUCGGUAACUUCUUGUCUUGGGGGCUGAGCUCAGCCAUCCCCUCCCCUAGCCACCUUCCCUGAACACACAACUGGUACCCCCUACUCAGACCCCCUCCACCCAGGCACUCUCUAUCACGUCACCCUAUUUUAUGUUCUUUCACUAUCAGAAAGGAUCUUGCCCAUUUACCUGCUUGUUCCUUUCCCCACCUGGCUCCACUAGAAUGCAGACUCCGCGAAUGCAGACAGAACAGCGCCUGCCUCCGUCAACUCCCGCCACGCGCAGGGGUGGCUGGGGGUGGCCCUGCAGUGCUAGAUAUGCCCACAAGAGGGCGCCCAUAAAUUUCCUUUUCAGUUUCUGGCUGGAAAAUCUCCCAGGAGUAAAACUAACAGAACCCUAACUGAAAUUUCACAAUUUGCCUAGUAUCUGUAGUAUAUACCCAUACUGUCAUGUAUCAUGGUCUUUCAUGUUUCUGGGAGUAAAAUAAAAUGUUUUUCUGUGGGAUUUUGAGAUACCGCCUUGAGACGGGGAAGGGAAUCUGCAUGGGACCCUGGCUCACUCCCACACCUCUUCUCUGCUAAGCUUUCACUGACUCUUACUUGAGCCAACUUGUCCUUAUGUCUCCACUGAUUGUAGCCAGAGACAGAUUAUCUUCAGCUAGAUGGGACCUAAAUUAACAUUUUCUUGCCCAUAAAUAUAUAUUUGGCUAUGACGCAGAGAUUUCCCAACCAACUGGGUAAGACUAAGGAAAUGUCAGUUCAGAUCAAUCAGUGAAGGCUGGUAAGGGUUUGAUAUAAUAAGGGAGCAGAAAGCGCUGGUUGGUGACUGAGCAUUGCUGUAAUUGGAGGCAGCUGUGAAGCAGCAGAACGAGCGCGGGGCCAAGAUGGGAGCACAGGAGUGAGUCCUAUUUUGUAUCCUGGUUCUGUUGACUUCUAGACACUUGAUGAUGGCUGUGAGCCUUCUUCUCUGUUUGUGAGAACGAUAGUGCUCUGGCGGACGUGAAAGGUGCUUUGUAAACAGAUGCCACACUCAGGAGCAACAUCUGCUAUAAGAAGAUGCAGAAGACAUGGAACCAUCAGAAAAAUCACUGUCAAAAGAGCCUCAGUGAAGAUUUUCCCCAGAGUGGACGUCCCUGAUGGGUGGCUGGUAGUCCUGGGUGCUUUGCUUGGACUGAAGCAUUUCUUUUUUUAGGCUUUACCACGUGCCAGACCUUGUGCAAAGCAGGGUGAGGGACGUAAAGAUGGAUGUGCACCAGAAGCCCAUGGCCAAGUAGAGGAAAGAGGAUCUACCAAGAACUGCAAGGCUGACUCUAAGAGGUCAGUGUUUGUGAGCCUGUUUUGUUUUUUUGCGGUAUGCGGGCCUCUCACUGUUGUGGCCUCUCCCGUUGGGGAGCACAGGCUCCGGACGCGCAGGCUCAGUGGC